rnacentral:lncRNA from 1 species
AAUCAUUCAUUAUCUUUACAAUUAACCAUUUAAAAUUACCACAGUUCUUCAAUCAAAGUAUAUAUCUACAUAUAUAGAGAGAGUACACUUCAUAAUUUUGUCUCUUGUCUUCCGUAAACGUAGCACGAAAAUUUGAUACCUAGUAUUGUAAGGCAGGUCGUAGAAGCAGUCUUCCUGCACAUAUUUAAAAAUCAUAGCAAGUCAAAAAAAUGAAGCAAAUAGAUCACCAGAGGCACUUAGUGCCAAAAUAAUACACAAAGACAAUAGAGUUGCUACGUGAUACUAAUGUACAUCGUAUUGCUCAUAAACAAAAAAAAACAAUUAGAAAUCUAUAUCAAACAGUUUCACGAUUCAAACUUGGAAAUAAAAAUUGCAAUGCUGAAGGAACUAUAAAUUAGAAAUGAUACCUCAGAGUCUCUUGAUCCAAGUAAACUUCUGUCAUUAAUGUUAGCAGAUCCAAUUAAGGACGUACAGUCAUCAAUUAUCAUGACCUUACUAUGAACAUUGCAGUAAAAAAAAGAGAAGGUUGUUGGUUGUGACAUAUGCACGUAGUAGAAGCUAGACUUUCAAUACAUUUUAUAUUUUAAGAAUAUAUGUAAAUUUGUUAAUCUUUAACAGCAGUUGCCGAUUAAUAUGAGCGAAAGCUUUGAAACCCUACACUUCCAUGAUAUGUGCACUACCACUGUUGGGUUUGUGUUCCAGCAACAUUUUCUAUGAUAUUUUAAAAUUUAUAUCAUGUUACAUUAUUCAUAUAAAAUGCUCAAAAAAAUAUAAAAUUAAAUAACAUACAUCAGUGUUUCGACUCUGUUGAACUAAUUCCUGAGAUAUACAGUAUUUUAAAGAGAGGGAAAAACAUUAAAUAAUCUUUGCCACAAUACCCAACAGAUACAAAAAACAUUUGUCUUCCUUUUACAGGAGGGAGUAAAAGAGGUACCUUGAGUGAUUCUACUUGUGAUAAUGAGUUGGCAAGCAUUGCAGCCCUGGAAUAUGUUCUGCAUUAUAUUAUCUUACAGUUAAAAAGAAAAUAAUCAAUUUUCUCAAACACUAUGUUUCUGUUUUCUAGGAGGAUUCAUCCCAAAAUUAACAUCAGUUUAUAAACCUUUUUGCCUUAGAAAAGCAACGGGUCAACAAACAUUCUCACUCUAAAAUGCAGUAAAAUUAUUACAAGACCAUCUUUUUCAGAAGUAAAAUUAGUUCCUCUAUAUUUUCCACAAAAUAAUGAUGUAUCAAUAGAAACACAAUAAGCUCACAAUAAUGAGAAAUCAUUUCAGGUAGUUUCGCACUUUCUGCGACAAAAAACUCAUAAAGCUUAAGACACUAUGUUUCUGAAGAAGGAAAAUCAGCAGUAACUAAUUGCAUUGUGUAGCGAAAUUGAACGAUCCAUCCCACAUCUAUUCAUCACCUUAGCAGCGCACACCUGUGUAGACGAGCCCAAUAAGUAUGUUGGACCACCUCCUUACCUAAAAGGUUAACCUAUUAGGUUGAUGUUCUACCAUACUUAUUAAGCCAUCUACACUCUUGAAUUUAACCGAUGUGGGAUUCAUGUGAAAUCCCAACAAUCUCCACCUUUCACUUGAAUACCCAUCACAAGUAUCAUACUAGAGUAUCUUAUCAUUAAGCACACCUUCUUUGAAUCCUUCAAGAGCUCUCUACUCGACUCUAAUACUACUCCCAGCAGUUUUUCCUAGAGCCAUCCCGAGCCAUGCUCCACCCGAUUCAAAUACUUUUUGAGUCCUUCAAGAGCCUUGCUUGACUCUAAUAUUACUCCACCACGUCCUGGGUGUCUCACCACGUCCUGGGUGUCUCAGCAAUUUCCCUAGAGCCUUCCCUAAGCCCGCUCCACCCGACUCAAAUCAUCCCGUGCUCCACCUGACACGAGGCCCCCGUGCUCCACCUGACACGAGGCCGUGCUCCACCUGAUUCAACUCUAUUUACUCCACCCACGAGGCCUGCGAAUUGUACCUCUCGCGCACCCCCUCGCACCUUGAAGUUGAUACUUGGACUCCCACCGAACCAUGGGCUUUGAUACCACUUGUAGGGAAAUUGUACGAUCCAUCCCACAUCUAUUCAUCACCUUAGCAGCGCACACCUGUGUAGACGAGUCCAAUAAGUAUGUUUGGACCACCUCCUUACCUAAAAGGUUAACCUAUUAGGUUGAUGUUCUACCAUACUUAUUAAGCCAUCUACACUCUUGAAUUUAACCGACGUGGGAUUCAUGUGAAAUCCCAACACAUUGCAUGUCAAAAGCCAAAAAGAAGAAGUUGAAGCUUGUAACUAGAAGGACAAAUGAUAAUUUGAAAGCCUACCAAGUGAUGACUGGACAAAAGAAGUACAUUUCUACCCAAGGUAGAUCAUAUUGAUACUAUGAAGCCAUUCAUGAGCAGACUAAAAUGGUUCUAAUACAACAAAGGAGGCAAACGAGGUUCCUAAGAAAUACGUCAAGCAAGUACCAUGAACUGGAAUUAUACAGUUUCAUUAAGAAGAUGCAUAAAACUUCUGAAACUUGCAAAAGAUUUAAUACCAAUAUAUGAUUAUUUCUUUCUGAUAGAAACAUAUAUGUUUUCUUGACAGAAACAGAAAUAUGGCAAUAUGGGAUAUCUUGGUAAGACAUCCAACAGAUGUAAGGAGGUGGGAGACUCCAAAUGACAAUAAGCUCGGAAGAUUAGCUCUCUUUCUUUUCGCCACUAGCUUCUGAUAGCAAUGGUUCAAGUUCCCCUUUACGGUAUAGCUUAACAGUAUCUGCACCAUGAAUUAAAAUCAAAACUUUUUCACUAGUUCUUUCACAUCCAGCUUCAAUAAUUUUGAUAGCCAUGCAAUCAUCUAGGAGUAAUUGAGUUAAAUGGCAAGCACUAUACCAAAUACUUGUAAUAAUCCAUGAAAUAAAUAAAAAUAACAAGAAGAGAACUUCUGGAAGUAUCACAAUAUUAAUAUUAUAGUGAGAAAAUUAAGUGUAGCAUCUCAAAAUAGAAAACUCUAAUAAAUUGAGGAUGAAACAAAAAACAGAAGGAAAAAAAAGGAAUAAAAACAUAAUACCAUACUUAAACGACAGUGUAUAAGAUAGUACUUGUACAACCUCCAAUGUGUUUUGCCCCUGGUCAUGAAAAAGACAGAAACUUUCAGCACUUUUAUUUUUAUAGAUAAAAUCUGAAAUACCAUUCCUUUGAAAGAAUUCUCUCCCAUAAACUUUUACAGUGAAACAAACAACAUAGCUACUUAAAAAUGAAGGGAAGAGAUCAAAGAAGCCAGGUACAAUAUUUCCAAGGACAUAUUAUGAUGACCAUAUAUAAGAUGAUAUAGUAGUGCAUACAGAAUGCACUGCUCUUUCGAUAAUAAGAUAAGAGAAUAAGAUAAGCUUUGAAACCCUACACUUCCAUGAUAUCUUAAAUUGAUAAUAAGAUAAGAGAAUAAGAUGAUAUAGUAGUGCGUACAGAAUUGAUAAAGUCAUUGUUAAAAUCGUUUGGAGAGAGAGAACUGAAACUCAAUCGCUUAGAUGCGCCACUUAUCUGGAUAUUGGGCUGCCGAAAAUGUUUCUCAGAGGAGUCGGAGUUAAGGUCGAGGGAAUCCCUAAUAUACAGAGAGCCGCACAGAUCUGUGUUGAAUAGAGAGAGGCGCAGAUCUAUUCUAGGUUAGGCUUCUCUUUUUGGAACAUAAUAGAAGAAUGGCAGGGAAGUUUAAUCGCUUAGUGUAAUAUUUGAUGGCUUAAUAAAAGUCCAUCUCCUGCUUGGAGUCUAUGACUCAGCACUUACAACUUAUUA